rnacentral:rRNA from 1 species
GCCCUUCGGGGUACACGAGCGGCGAACGGGUGAGUAACACGUGGGUGAUCUGCCCUGUACUUCGGGAUAAGCCUGGGAAACUGGGUCUAAUACCGGAUAUGACCCCAGACUGCAUGGUUUGGGGUGGAAAGAUUUAUCGGUACAGGAUGGGCCCGCGGCCUAUCAGCUUGUUGGUGGGGUAACGGCCCACCAAGGCGACGACGGGUAGCCGACCUGAGAGGGUGACCGGCCACACUGGGACUGAGACACGGCCCAGACUCCUACGGGAGGCAGCAGUGGGGAAUAUUGCACAAUGGGCGAAAGCCUGAUGCAGCGACGCCGCGUGGGGGAUGACGGCCUUCGGGUUGUAAACCCCUUUCGACAGGGACGAAGCGCAAGUGACGGUACCUGUAGAAGAAGCACCGGCCAACUACGUGCCAGCAGCCGCGGUAAUACGUAGGGUGCGAGCGUUGUCCGGAAUUACUGGGCGUAAAGAGCUUGUAGGCGGUCUGUCGCGUCUUCUGUGAAAACUUGGGGCUCAACCUUAAGCUUGCAGGCGAUACGGGCAGACUAGAGUACUUCAGGGGAGACUGGAAUUCCUGGUGUAGCGGUGAAAUGCGCAGAUAUCAGGAGGAACACCGGUGGCGAAGGCGGGUCUCUGGGAAGUAACUGACGCUGAGAAGCGAAAGCAUGGGUAGCAAACAGGAUUAGAUACCCUGGUAGUCCAUGCCGUAAACGGUGGGUACUAGGUGUGGGUUUCC